AUGGGAUUUGAGCAUAGGUUUGGUUAUCCAAGGAGCAGUGCUGAGCUUUUUGCCAGUGGGACAUGGGAUGCCGGUGAUUUCCAGGAACAGCCUUGACAGGCCCAGCUCCUGCCUCCUGAUGGCCUCUUUAGGCUCAUCUUGUGCCUCACCGUGGCCUUCUGCAGGCCAGGCUUCUGCCCUUCAGCGGCCUCCGCAGGCUCGGCUCCUGCGUCCCGAUGGCCUCUUAAGGCCCAGCUUGUCCCUCGCAGCGGUCUCUUUACGCCCAGCUUUUCCCCUGUGGUGGCCUCUGCAGGCCCAAGUCGGCCUCCCGCGGCCCAGUGGCUGCCUCUCGGCCUCCUCUCCAGGCCCAACUCUCCCUCGCAGGCCCAGUCCCUGUCUCCAAACAGGCCCAGCUCUUGCCUCACAGCAGCCUUCCCAGCCCCAGCUCUUGCCUCACGGUGGCCUUCCCCGGCCACGUUCCUGCCGGCCUCCUGGCAGCCUCAACAAGCUCGGAUCCUGCCUCACACUGGCCUCUCCAGGCCCAGCUCCCACCCAUCCCGAUGGCGUCUCCCGGCCCAAGGCUUUCUCAAGUCAGCCCCUCCAGGCCCAGCUCCUGCCUCCCGCUGAUGGCCUGUGCAGGCCCAAAGCGUCCUGAAGUCGGCCUUACCAGGCUCAGCUCCUGCCUGUUGUAGGCCCUUGGAGGUAUGGCCUCUCCCUCCUCCCAGUGGACCCCCCCGGGCCCAGCUCUUGCCUCACAUUGGCCUUCCCAGGCCAUUUUUGUGCCUUCUUCUUUACAGCAUCUCCAAGCCCUGUUCAUGCUUUUCAUCAGUUUCUAGAGGCCCAACUCCAUUUUUCCAGUGUGCUAUUUAGGCCCUGCUCUUGCCUUUCAGUUGUCUCUCCAGACCAAGAACUUUCUCAUGUCAGUCUCACCAGGCCUAGCUCCUGUGUCUGGUAGGCCUUUAACAUGGCUCUGCUUUUGCCUCACGGCCGCCUUCCAAUACUCAACUCCUAUUUAACAGCAGCCUCCCAUGUCCCACCUUCUGUCUUCCUCUGGCCACUCCAGGCCCAGCUUCUUCCUUGGUGCCCUUUUUAAGCCCAUAGUUUUUUCCAGUCAAGCUCUCCAGGCCCAGCUUGUGCCUCUGAGUGUCCUCUAGGAUCUCAGCUUCUGCCUAACAGUGACCUCUUUAGACUCAGCUCAUCCUUACUGGGACCUCUUCAAGCCGUGCUCCUGCCUCUUGGCAACCUCUAGUGGCCCAGCUUCUGCCUCACAGCUGCCUCUCCAUGCAUGCCUAGCUCCUGCCUCUUCGGGGCCCUUAUAGGCCUAAAAGUUUCUAAAGUUUCUUAAUUUGUCCUUCUCAGGCCCAGCUCCUGCAUUCUGGUGGCCUCUAUAGGCCUGGCUUCAUCCUUUCAAUGGCCUCUUUAGGCCCAGCUCCUUCCUCCCAUUGGCCUCUCCAGGACCAAAAUGUCCUUAAGUCAACCUUACCAGGCCCAGCUCCUGCCUCCUUGCAGCCUUCAGAGGCCCAGCUUUUGCCUGCCAAUGGCCUCUUUAGCCCUACCUCCUGCCUUUCACCAGUCUCUCCAGGCUUAGCUCUUUUCUCUUUACAGCUUCUGCAGGCCUAAAACGUCCUCAAUUUGGCAUCUCCAGGCCCAGCUCUUGCCUCCUGGCAGCCUCUGCAGGCCUAGCUUAAGCCUUACAACAGCCUCUUUACCCCCAGCUCCUUUCUCCCAGUGGCCUUUCCAGGCCUAGAACUUCUUCAUGUUGACCUCACCAGGCCCAGCUCCUGCCUUCCAGCAGCCUCUACAAGUUUAGCUCCUGCCUCCCAGGGAUCUCUCCAGGCCCCAGACUUUCUCAAGUCGACCUCACCAGGCCCAGCUUCUGCCUCUUGUCAGCCUUCCAAGGACCAGCUUUUGCUUCACGUCUGCCUUCCAAGUCCCAGCUCCUGUUUUACGGUGGCCCCCUGAGGCCCAGCUCCUGCUUCCCGGUGGCCUCUUUUGGCCCAGCUCUUGCCUUACCACGGCCUUCCAGACCAAGUUCCUUCCUUUUAGCAGCCACUACAGGCCCAGCUCUUGCCUCCUUUCAAGAACCAACUCCUGCCUCAUGGUGGCCUCCUGAGGGCAACUUUCUGCCUCAUGUCAGCCUCUCCAUGCCCUGGUCCUGCCUGCUAGUGGACUCUGCAGGCCCUGCUUCUGCCUUACAUUGGCCCUUCUAUAAAGACCCAACUCCUGCCUCACAACAACCUGUUUUUGCCCAGCUCUUGCCUCCUGGCAGUCUCCUUAGGCCCAAAUUUUCCUUCAGUUGACCUCUCCCAAGCCCAUCUCCAGCCUCUCAGCACCCUCUUUAGGCCCAGCUCCUGCCUUAAUAAAUUGGAAUAAAUUAUUAUUAUGUGA